CUGAAACUCCCCCAGCCUGUAUUCAUGGUGGACAACUGAAUCCUCCCCUUACUCAAUCAUGGCCUUGCAGUGAAGGAAGGUUCCUAACCCAACUCCAGUCCCUAGUGCAGAGCAUGCAACAUUUCAAGCUGCUGUACUGCUAAUUUCCAGGGAUGAUGAUCCAGUAGAGAGGCCUGGAUAAAUUUCUGGCCAGGUGCAUGCUGAGCUGCUAGCAGCAAGGCUCACACAAGUGGGACACACAGGUCAGACCCAUGCCGGUACAGAGCUGCUACAGGACGGCAGCUGGCAACUCACCUCUCCCCACCUCUGGCUUCUCUUUUAUGGAUGGAAACCCUGGUGUUCACAAGUGGACUAUGCAACCUUCUCCAUGUCGCUCGGGAUGAGUUCCUCGGAGGAAGCCUGGAGGGCAUCGGCUCGCUGAAAAGUCCACCGCAGCGUAACACGCUUGUGUCAGCACCAUCUCGAAAGAAAAGAACGCAAAGCCACCUAGAAAUCUUUUUUGUGCACACAGCAAAUAUACUUGUUCAGUCUUUCUUUGUCGGUCUUCCACGUGGCCCUUGCCUGCACCAUCUGAUGAUGUCACUGUCUGCGCCGUC
ensembl:lincRNA